ensembl:lncRNA
UGCUUCUCUGUCUUGCUGGGACAUUUGGGAGGGACUUGAGAAGAAAAGAAAUGGAAGCAAGUUUCUAGCAUUUACUGAUUCUUUAACAGUGCCAAGGUACAAAAGUACCCUCGCAGACCUGCUUUUGGAAGCCCCUUCUUCAUUAUUUAGUUUACACAUGCAGUGAGUGUCAUGCAGCCGAGAUCUCUCGCUUUAGCACACCUGCACACAUAUUGACUGCAGAAAGAAUUAGGCCAUGCUCUCCCACCAGUUGCUGUGGCAAAACCCAGGCAUGGAUUUACCAGAGAGACCACAUGGAGUCUGUCCUUCCUCCUGGCAUCCCUGCAGUUCUAUGAGAGCACAUCUACCCAUGGCGGAGUGCACCAAGAGGUCCCCUUGGCACGUAACCCCUCUUCUUACCCUCAUUCUCCUCUCUCUUUUGCCCCAUCUCCUGCUCACACCCUUCUGGGAUGAAACAAGAAGCACUGACAGUAUUGAGAAUGUCAGCCUCCAUGCAUGUGGGAACUGUUAGCUCACAGACUGCAAGCCCUGAAGACACCACUGCCAUCAUCUAGUUUGCCCUGCUGCCUAGCACAAGGUGUAAGACUUUCAGCCAAUAAUUUCUCUGAUAAGCUCAACAGCCUGCAUUGAGCUGAGGUUCCAGGUUUAAUUAAGAGAGUAACUUGUGCAUUUGGGGUAUUAACAAAAGAUCCAAAUUAUUGCUGUGAUUGUUUCAUUUAUUUUUAAUAACAAUCAUAAAAAGGGCCUGUUUGAACCCUGAGGAAUUGUAGGUCCAGUAGAGAUGGGUGGGAUUUAACUUGCAUUCUGCUGGGUGAGGUAAAAUCCCAUUGCGUAGGGUCCAUCCUGUAUCAGAAGAAUGAAUUACAUCUGCUGGGCAGUUCAGCCUGUGUGAGAUGUCCAUUUCUCUGCAGAGGCGUGCUGCAUCAUCAUAAUUGGUUCAACAAGGCACUUCAGCUUGUGUAGAGAUGGGGAAGAGCUCUCCCCACUGCUAUUACAGAAUAACUUACCUAGAAGGAAAGUUUCUUCCCAACUUCUCAGAGAAAAGUUGGCUUGUGCCUUAAAACCUGGAGAUUUACGUUCUUUAAAAUGUGUGUGGGUUUUUUUAAUCCUGUCUAAUGUAACUAUAGAUGGUCUCCAUAACCAUAUAAAUCCCCCGUUAUUGUUUGAUUCCAGCCAAGACCUUGGCCUCAGUGAUAUCUGGUCGUAAUGAGUUCCACUGAGUUACAGUGAAGCUAAUUGUAUUUGAUAUGGCUGCAGU